GUGGGGAAUAUUGGGCAAUGGGCGAAAGCCUGACCCAGCGACGCCGCGUGAGGGAAGAAGGUCUUCGGAUUGUAAACCUCUUUCAGCAGGGAAGAAGAAAGUGACGGUACCUGCAGAAGAAGUCACGGCUAACUACGUGCCAGCAGCCGCGGUAAUACGUAGGUGGCGAGCGUUAUCCGGAAUUACUGGGUGUAAAGGGUGUGUAGGCGGGAGUGCAAGUCAGGCGUGAAAUUUUCAGGCUCAACCUGAAAACUGCGCUUGAAACUGUGCUUCUUGAGUGUGGGAGAGGUAAACGGAAUUCCUGGUGUAGUAGUGAAAUGCGUAGAUAUCAGGAGGAACACCGGUGGCGAAGGCGGUUUACUGGACCACAACUGACGCUGAGACACGAAAGCGUGGGGAGCAAACAGGAUUAGAUACCCUAGUAGUCC
rnacentral:rRNA from 1 species